UCUGGUGUCACAAACAAACGUGUGCCUGCAUUAGCUUUGUUACGGCAAUGGAUUGUGGGAGAUUCUCAUAACAUGUGAGGAUCUCUCGAGGGUAUUUGUGCAGGCCCUGAGUGGUUGAGAGCAGUGUCUGGAACAGGACAAGCAUGUAGAUGGUACUGCAUUUGCAAAACUUGCUUUCCAGCCCCUUUGCCAGAGGGGCUGAAAGGCUCCCUAAAGUCUUGAUCAAAGCAGGGAGGUUUUUGACAUGCCCAGCGAACAAGUUAUUUGUCCCCUACCUCUAGCUGUUUCUGAAAUGUUUGCAAUCUCUAAUGGUGGAGAAGAAAGAGUAGAGACACUCCAGGAGAUCAACGCAGGAAAGUAAUCACCAACUGUGAGUGAUCUGUUGCCGAGGGGACACUACACCGGAGUUACAUAAGCAACAUACAUAAAGUACUAUU